GCUUAAACACCAAUAGGAGUAGAUUACUUCUUACAGUCGGUUUUAUUAGUUCAAGUGCUCCACAGACACCACUAGAUAAACCGCCUGCUUCCACGAGAUCACAUGAUAAGCGACCGAUCGUCGUAAAUGCUUGACUUAAAUUCGACUCAAAAACCUCCUGAUCACUUCACUCACUCAAAUCAAACUCAGAUUCUGAACAAACCUAAUUUCAAGCACAAGAACUGAAAAAUGCUGCAGACAAGGGUUUGGAGAUUUGUGGCAUGCCUAUGGGUAAAAGACACGGAUAAAUCAAUAUGCUGUAGAUGAUUACUGCCCUGUGCAUAAAAGUAUUGAAAUUCAAAAGCCUCAUAUGGUUUCAACAAGAACAUUGAAGAGAGGAUCACCACUUGGCAUGUAUGGCCUUGAAGCUCAUCCAGUAACUGCUCAAAAGAAGGGACUGAUAGAAAAAGAUGGUAGCCAUCAUCGAAUUUGUUCUAUGCAUCCAUCUCCAACUCUUGAAAAGGUUUUCUACACCACACAGUAACAAUAUAGAUGAUUGCUGUAGUGAUGCUGAAUCAUCUUCUAGAGUGGAUUAUGCGACUGAAGGAUGUCCACUUUCUUUAGAUGAGCGAUUGGGAGUAGAAUUCUACAGGUCAGAAUUAUCUACAUAUUGUUGAGGAUUUGUAUGCUUCGGGGCCUUUGCGUUGGGAAGAUGAAGCAACAUUGACAAAUCUACGCCGUACGGUUCAUAUUUCAGAUGAGGAGCAUUUGAUGGUGCAAAGAAAUUUGUUACCUGCUAAUAGUAUGCUUCUUGUCAGCUGACCUGAUUUAGUCUCUUUUUUCUCCUCUAAUAUAUUUUCCUUAAUUGAUGUCAAGAUGUUGUAAGGAAUAAAUGGCAUGAAAGAAAUGUAUAAUCUAGAUGAUUUUUGUUUA